rnacentral:rRNA from 1 species
CCGCGCUUGUGCGAGAGGUUUUUGCCCAAUCCACACCUCACGCGCCGCAUUGACCUGCUUGCCCAAUCCCCGCGGCGGUUGGCUGGUUGACUCAUCGCGCCAGCACGUCCUCGCCUCCUUAGUGCCAUGAGAGGCGCCGCCUCUGCCUCUGGAAGAAGCGGCAGGGAUUGGUGGAGCAUCGAAAGUGGCCGGGGUCAACGGUUGAGGGAGGAUCACCCACCAGAGCAGUAGGAGAAAGACCUUGAGGUGGUCCAGAUUUGCCUCUACAUCCUUUUCCUCUUUUCCUAGGUUUUGAUCUCCUGUACAUAUUUUGGCCACCUAAGUUCUAUCCGCUCUCUGUCAAUUUCAGUGAAGCUGCAUCAUCCAACAUAGCGAGAUGAAGUACUCAGAAAAAAUUGCAGCAAGUGCGAUUGAUACUCAGGGAAUUGAUCUGAUUCUGAAUCUUCCCUUCUUCCGGUACUUAUUUCACACUCUCUCUGAUUGGUCAAUGUGCUAUGCAAAGCUGUUUGAUAUAUGGAUUAAAUUUGCUUUUGUACAUGUCUGGAUCGUACUUAAUGUUAUUCCCUUUUGAAUUAGCAAGAUCUAGACGAUAAUUCACAACAAUGUCAAUGUUAGGUUUGAUUUACCACCAGUGCUCUUUAGAUUACAAAGGGUUUUUAAUUCAGCAUUCAACUCCGCCUUUGUCAGUAUAAAAAAUUCAUAAAUAGACUUGGUCUCUUCUUUAUUAUCUGGGUGCAUUAUGUACUAUGCAUGGCACUAACUGUGAGUAUUUUUGCCAGUCAGUAUGCAUUGGUCUACUUUGGAUCUUUUUUGUCUCACUUUAUACUUGUUCUGCUAUUUGUCGUGUAUGCACAUGAUUUGGAUUGAUCUACUUAGAAGCAUGAGUUUAUGAAAAUUAAUAUCUACUAGGAUUGCUCUGCUCCUGUUGACAUGCGAUGGCAAUUGUGACAUGACAGAGUUGUCUGAAGUGGAAUGGAUUGUCGUCACCUUUGACUAAGCUGUCGAGCCCAAGAACUGUGGCAGACUGGUGGCCCAGCUGUUCAACUUCUCAACACCGUUUAAUUUUGUCUUUGGCUGUCCUUGCGUCCACUCAGCAGAGAAGUAUCUAUACUGAAUUUCUGCUCUAGAUAACUUAUACUCAUAUAAUUUAUCUCUAAUACCCAGUCCAAAACAUUAGUUUCAAAAUGUAACUCUUUGCGGCCCUAAUUCGACAGUACUUUGAGUGCUUCCUAUAGGAACAGGAGUGAGCAAAGACGAAGUCACCUGAGAUGGGAAAAACAGAAGUAUAUGUUAAUAACCAGAUUUUCAACUUUUGUUGACCUUUUAUUUUAAGUAUAUGUUAAUAACCAGAUUUUCAACUUUUGUUGACCUUUUAUUUUAACUGAAUGAUAUGUUCUAGCAUUUGAGCUACUAAUCAUAAAUAUUCAGUCAGCUAUCCGUAAGACGCCACAUGUUCUUAGCUGCUAUAUUUUAUACCUGAAAUUAUUUUCUAAGUCCACAUAACGAAGGCAAAAGUCAUGAAAAUUAUGAAAGCCUUUUUGAAAAAAUGAAAAUCACAGAAAGGAUCUUGGAAAAAAGAAUUACUUGUGAACAAUCAUUUUGACUGAUGAGUUGAUCUCUGCCUAAUGAAUCCACUGAGAUAUUGGAGAGCUUUUCUGCUUCAUGAGAAAGAGCCACAGAUGGCCGACUAAUACCCAUUAUAGCAGGAUUUUGCAUAUGAUGUGCAUACACAAGGUGCCGCUGGGUGAUACGGCAGUUCUCUGAACAUAGAAUACUAGAUUAAAGCACUCACAGUAUUUCUUCAGGCACUCAGAUCUCUUGCAGUGGCACCCCUUUGUAUGCUUACCCACAGGAGGGCCUUCUGCCAGUUUGCAUGAUAAAAAUAGAAGUGAUUGUUUGAAAAUAUACAUUGUGCUCUACCUCGCCGUUCUGGGCUGCAUGUGGAGGGAUAUUCCAAAUUUUGGGCAUAAAGGCCACAGGGUUUCUUUCAAGGCACUAGGCAAAUCACGAAUAGCUCGCCCCUUGUGCUAUAUUUAUAGCAGGUUGUACCCGGCAUAUAUUGUGAGAUUUGAUCUGGUAGAGACGAAGGACCGAGAUAGUCUGGUCUUACCUACAUAUAUGAGUCGUUAUUGAGGACUGAGCAUCGAGCGUGAUUCCGUUUCCAGUCCAUGUAGAUUAGGCAUUGGACGACUUAGCUAGAAACUUUAUAGGUUUUUAGUUUAUAUAUCAGUUAUGUUGUCAUGAUUUGCUUUUUAUGAACCUUGAUAAUACUAUCCUGGAUUUGUGACAACAGUCUACAGAUUUUUCCCUUUAUUUUUUAUCAUUGUGAAGAACAAAUCUACAAAAUUCAACCAGUUGUGAACUCAUCAAGUACGAGAUCUCUGUCUAAUAUCAUUUCUGUAGGUCGAACCUGAAAGGAUGCCAGCCGAUUGCUUUUCCAAAACUGAAGUUUCAUGUCUUGAAACUUUCCCCAUUUUUCUUUUCAGAGGACAAAGGACAUCCGGAUUAGUUAGCUUCUUUUUACAGUUCCUAUCCAUUGAACUAUAUGCAGUUUUCAGCUAGACCUCAUUUUAUAGUGCCUAUCCAUUGAACUAUAUGCAGUGUCAACAAACAUUGUGAGAUGCGAUGGCUGCAAUGGUGGGGCCAAACAAUCCUACGGCAGCAGUAGUCAUCCCAUGAUAAAUCUCUGUUAAGUGCUCCUUUCUCUUUACCUCUUUACUCCCGUGUAUCUGAUUUUGAUGUCAUAGUCUAUGUUUUUAGCUAGACACCGUGCUUGCAGAUUUCAUAAAGAAGGGUAGAUGAAGAAGCUAUCAGAAGAAUUUGUUGAACGGAACUUGCAUUUUGAUGUUAUGAGUGUAGAAAUAUAUUCUGCAUUUUUAGGAAAUUAGAUAAUAGGACCUGCUAAAGGAGAACUUGGGUCAAGCUAUUUCUUUAUUUGUUUGUGCAACCAACCUUAUUUGGUUCUGAUUGGAAGAUAAUACGACCGGCUGUACAAACUUCUAUUGAGUAAAGCUCAUUGUUAAGUUCAGAUAUAAUUAUGUGUCUCGAAUUCUUGUUAUUUUUCAUUUCUUAUGUGAAAUAAAUCAUCAGUUGGCAUACUUGGUUUCCCAUAUUGUUUU